GGUAGUAUUAUAAUAAAAAACCAAUUAAUACUGGCGGUCUUAUAUAUUUAGAGAAACUCGCUCUUUAAUCGAAAAUACCCGCUAAUUUUAACUUAAAUUCCAGUCUAUAUACCGCCGUUUAUCAGAGCCAAUUUAACAACUAAGACCCACAACUUACAAUUAACAAAAAUCAGGUCAAGGUGUAGCCAAUAUUUAAGUAAGAGUAAGUUACAAUAAACCAAAUUUAAGGACGUCACCCUAAAGUAAACCAGAAAAAGAAUCUAUGAGUACGCGAAAAUCAAAAUCUUUCCCUGAAACUCACCCUUAAGACGC
rnacentral:rRNA from 1 species